rnacentral:rRNA from 1 species
CCUACGGGUGGCAGCAGUCGAGAAUUAUGCACAAUGGGGGAAACACUGAUGGUGCGACGCCGCGUGGGGGAAUGAAGGUCUUCGGAUUGUAAACCUCUGUCAUGUGGGAGCAAAUUAAAAAGAUCGUACCACAAGAGGUAUAGACGGCUAACUCUGUGCCAGCAGCUGCGGUAAUACAGCGGAGUCAAGCGUUGUUCGGAAUCACUGGGCGUAAAGUGUGCGUAGGCAGUUUCGUAAGGCGGGUGUGAAAGGCGCGGGCUCAACCCGCGGACGGCACAUGAUACUGGGAGUCUAGAGUAAUGGAGGGGUAACCGGAAUUCUCGGUGUAGCGGUGAAAUGCAUAGAUAUCGCGAAGAACACUCGUGGCGAAGGCGGGUUCCUGGACAUUAACUGACGCUGAGGCACGAAGGCCAGGGGAGCGAACAGGAUUAGAUACCCUAGUAGUC